AUACAGACAUGGACUGAACCAUGACAGCAUCCCCCGUAAUACAGACAUGGACUGAACCAUGACACCAUUCCCCCCCAAUACAGACAUGGACUGAACCAUGACAACAUCCCCUCCUAAUACCGACAUGGACUGAACCAUGACAGCAUCCCCCCAAUACAGACAUGGACUGAACCAUGACACCAUCUCCCCUAAUACAGACAUGGACUGAACCAUGACACCAUCUCCCCUAAUACAGACAUGGACUGAACCAUGA